CUCACUUUUGAGAAUUCUUACGGCAAAUUCAUUCAAUAUAGCAUACUGACUCAGUGCAACUUUGAACUAUUCUCGACUUGUAUAUUUUGCCCCUACGGCCAUGGUAGGAUUCUCAAUGUCCAUCUCAUAUGUCUCUCCCCCGUAGUCUAUGAUAUUUUCAUCAUCAUUAUCAGAAUCACUAUUAUAAAUACUGUGAUAGCUACUCUCAGAACCAUAAAUUUCA
rnacentral:lncRNA from 1 species